rnacentral:rRNA from 1 species
ACGGAAGGCAGCAGUCGGGAAUAUUGCGCAAUGGAGGAGACUCUGACGCAGUGACGCCGCGUGCAGGAAGAAGGUUUUCGGAUUGUAAACUGCUUUAGACAGGGAAGAAGAAGCGACAGUACGUGUAGAAUAAGCUCCGGCUAACUACGUGCCAGCAGCCGCGGUAAUACGUAGGGAGCAAGUGUUAUCCGGAUUUAUUGGGUGUAAAGGGUGCGUAGACGGGAAAUUAAGUUAGGUGUGAAAUCCCACGGCUCAACUGUGGAACUGCUAUUGAAACUGGAUUUCUUGAGUACUGGAGAGGAAAGUGGAAUUCCUAGUGUAGCGGUGAAAUGCGUAGAUAUUAGGAGGAACACCAGUGGCGAAGGCGACUUUCUGGACAGAAACUGACGUUGAGGCACGAAAGUGUGGGGAGCAAACAGGAUUAGAUACCCUGGUA